rnacentral:rRNA from 1 species
CAGCCGCCGCGGUAAUACGUAGGGUGCGAGCGUUAAUCGGAAUUACUGGGCGUAAAGCGGGCGCAGACGGUUACUUAAGCAGGAUGUGAAAUCCCCGGGCUCAACCUGGGAAUUGCGUUCUGAACUGGGUGGCUAGAGUGUGUCAGAGGGGGGUAGAAUUCCACGUGUAGCAGUGAAAUGCGUAGAGAUGUGGAGGAAUACCGAUGGCGAAGGCAGCCCCCUGGGAUAGCACUGACGUUCAUGCCCGAAAGCGUGGGUAGCAAACAGGAUUAGAUACCCGUGUAGUCCCUGUCUCUUAUAC